rnacentral:rRNA from 1 species
CGCUCUUUGUAAAUUAAAGAUAAAGAGUAGUGCCUGCCCAGUGAAAUUUUAAACGGCCGCAGUACCCUGACUGUGCUAAGGUAGCAUAAUCACUUGUUUUUUAAUUGAAAGCUAGUAUGAAUGGCUUGACGAAACAAAACUGUCUCUUUUAUAUUAUUUAGAAAUUAAUUAUUGGGUGAAGAAGCCCAACUAAUUUCAAAAGACGAAAAGACCCUAUCGAGCUUUAAAAAUAUAAUUAAAUUAAAUUUAUAGUAAAAUAUGUUUUAAUUAACUUUUUUUAUUGGGGCGAUAAAAGAACAUAAAAAGCUUCUUUUUAUUUAUUAAAUUGGUAAAUUUAUUGAUCCAUAAAAUUAUGAAUAGAAGAAAAAGCUACCGUAGGGAUAACAGCGUUAUUUUUUUAAAGAGUUCUAAUCGAAGAAAAAGUUUGCGACCUCGAUGUUGGAUUAGAGUAAUUCUUAAGUGCAGCAGCCUAAAGAGUGGGUCUGUUCGACCCUUAAAUCUCU